UUCACAACCCUCUUACAUGUAUUUUAUAUCUUAACAUUUUAUUGCUUGUCUAAUAUUCUGUUCCCUUUAUAAUACUGAAUUUCAGAUCCUGCUUUUGUUCUCCCUCACUUGAACUUCUUCCAGAAGCUCAUUUCAAUUACUCAUGGAAGGCUCCAAUCCCACUUCUAAUGAAACCCUGCUGAAUUCAAUGGGAGGCAGAUCAGGCCAACAUUGUGGAUCAAAUCCUGCUUACUUCAUUUAUUCACAGUUUCCAUUCAAUCUAUAUGAGUUUUAUUUGAGUGAGGUGAGCAGGACUUGGCUCUCUGUCAUUAUAUACAACUACUCUCUGUUUAUUUUCUCCCAUCUAAAUUGCUCAGUAUUUCUGCCCCAUUAAUUCUGUCUCAUCAAGCUUGGCCUAGCCCAUUACCUCAACAUUCCAUCUUCCUACAUAUGAUGGUUCUAUCUUUUAAUGCUUUUUGAAUUUGUAUACAAAUCUUUUAAUCUCCUUCUGAAAUUCCUUAUUAAUGUCAGUAUGAUGGGCUACAUGAAACCCACAGCAGCUAAGAAGGGUAAAGCUGCUGUAGGCUCAAUCAACCCUGCCCAGCUAUGCUGGCAAGACUGAAGAUGGAGUAGAGUCUAAGUGUGGGAGGAUAGACCUGACAUAGAUUGCUAGUUUUAUUUAUUACCAAGCAUUAAAUGUUAUUGGGCAUUAAAGCAGCUGGGGUCCACCUGAAAAAAAGGAGGAGAGCUGCUGCAGUGAAUCACCAUGCAAUGAGGGGGUGCCUCUACCACACUUGGGUUUGGGGUUUUUUUUGAGAGGCAAAAUGGCCACUGUUUUGUUCGCUCCUGGAGAGAAGAGUUAAAGUUAAGGGCAGUCAAAUCUGACUCCAUCAUGAGUACAGAAAAUAAGAGCUCUAAACAGUAGUAUAUGUGACUUAAGGAGGAAAUCCUACACUACGCUUGAACUAGUUAAAACCAAGGAGGACUUCUUCACCUGGCACAAAGUAUUGGAGUCCACCACCACCUUUUAGAUGAUAGAGGAAUGAUGCUAAUACAGAAGAUAACUCAUGAUAGACAUUCAAGUGGGAAGAAGAGCCUGAUAAUUUGUUAAAGGAAUCGGACAGGAAUCUGGAUCUUGUUGAGACUUUUGCUAUUACUGACUUUCUUGGAUGAUUUGGUAACAUAUCACACUUUUGAUUUUAAGCAGGCAUGAACAACCAAGCCUCAGCUCCUUUCAUUUGGCUCAUCUGUUUUCUUCUACCCUAUUAAUAUGAUGAACUGGUACUUAAAGUGUUUUCCAUAUACUCUUAAUUAGCAUUGUGCAGAGAAGACUGUGUACCCGUAUGACCUAUGUACACUUUAAAAAAAACAUAAGUAAGCUUGUUGGUUAUUAACUUUACAUGCUCUCCUAGCAGUUGCACCCCAUGAUGUAACAGAAGGCUUUGGCAAAAAGUGCAUCACAAAAAUACAGUGCAACCUCCCCCCCGACAUGAAAACCCCAAUUCUCAAAGGUAGGAUUCACAGGCUAAGUACUGCAUAUACAGAAUUUGUUUUGUGAUCUCUCAGGUUUUAAAAUGGUAUUUAUUUGCCCAUCAUCCUCACUAAUUUGCAGAUUCUAUUUUUAAUUUUCUUUUACUCUCCUUGUGAGGAAUGUCCCCCUUUUUACAGUUCAAAUACCACCAAAAACCCAUUUCAAAAACCCAGCUGCACAGCAAUGAUUGCUUUAUUUUUCAAGCUGAAACAUUCUAGCAAUUUUGAAUCAAAGUGAUUUGACAGACUGACUUGUCAAAUCACAAAAUGCUUCAGAAGAGCUUAAAGUUUCUAAGAAAUCUUGAUUCUUGACACUUGGAAUAGGAUUGUUUCCCAGCCCAUGUGCUUGUGCAGAGGAGUAAAACCCCUUCAAUCUCCUGUGUGGUUGUUCGUGCUCCUUGCAUCAUAGCAGUCCUAGGAACGCAUCCCACCAAGCAGAUGGAUGAGGACCCUUCACACGCAUGCACUGGCCAGCUGAGCUGAGUCAAUGCAAGGGUAGUGUGUGUUUGUGGGGGGAGGGGGGAAUAAGUUGUAACCAGUAAAUGGCUGCUGUAAGUUAGUUUCCCUUGAUAGAAGAGUUACAACUCCUCCCAUAACAAUGCAACCCUUUACCAGGGCUCCUCCUGGAGUGGUGCAGCUGUGUGCUAUCUCUUAUACAGGGGCUGAGCAUAAAGGCUCAAUCUAACCCAUAAUUAAUAAUUGAAGUUGGCACUUCUAUAUUCAAGAAUAUACUUCUAUGUCCCAAAGAGUGGAACCAUGAUGAAUUUUGUUUCUGAACACAUCUGUGAGAUAGGAAACAUUAUUUUUUCCAUUUUAAAAAUAGGGAAAAUAGAGGCACCAUUUUCAAAAGUGCCCAAAUAUGGGUGCCCAAUUUGAGACUUGCCCAAGAUCACACAGGCAGCAUCUGUUAGAGCCGGGAAUAAGGUGAGGGGAACUUUUGUGAAGUUUAUUCAAUUAUUUUACUGUGCUAAGAGUUGAAGGAAUACAUAGUACUUAGUCCCUGCCCUCAAAGAGUUUACACAGUUUAAGGUGUAUAUUCUAAUAAACUACUUAUGCUUUGUUUUUAGUUAAAUUCUUG